UGUCCGAUCGGAGUUUCAGUCCAGCUCCCUGGCAAGAGUCAGACAGAUUGAGAUAGAGAGGAGAACCUGCUCUCCCUGGCAGACUAGACUGGGUUGCAGUGGGCUACCAGACACAGAGGAACAGAAAGAGAGUGACUGCUACAGGUUGUUUUUUACAUUUAUGUUUUGAAGAAUAUUAGUCAGUAUGUGUUACAGCUGUACUGGUUGCCAUCUCAUUAGUGGGAAGGUGUAUCACCUGUGCUGGCCCAGGUGCUAUUGAAGAGUGGCUGGCCCAGGUGCUAUUGAAGAGUGGCUGGCCCAGGUGCUAUUGAAGAGUGGCUGGCCCAGGUGCUAUUGAAGAGUGGCUGGCCCAGGUGCUAUUGAAGAGUGGCUGGCCCAGGUGCUAUUGAAGAGUGGCUGGCCCAGGUGCUAUUGAAGAGUGGCUGGCCCAGGUGCUAUUGAAGAGUGGCUGGCCCAGGUGCUAUUGAAGAGUGGCUGGCCCAGGUGCUAUUGAAGAGUGGCUGGCCCAGGUGCUAUUGAAGAGUGGCUGGCCCAGGUGCUAUUGAAGAGUGGCUGGCCCAGGUGCUAUUGAAGAGUGGCUGGCCCAGGUGCUAUUGAAGAGUGGCUGGCCCAGGUGCUAUUGAAGAGUGGCUGGCCCAGGUGCUAUUGAAGAGUGGCUGGCCCAGGUGCUAUUGAAGAGUGGCUGGCCCAGGUGCUAUUGAAGAGUGGCUGGCCCAGGUGCUAUUGAAGAGUGGCUGGCCCAGGUGCUAUUGAAGAGUGGCUGGCCCAGGUGCUAUUGAAGAGUGGCUGGCCCAGGUGCUAUUGAAGAGUGGCUGGCCCAGGUGCUAUUGAAGAGUGGCUGGCCCAGGUGCUAUUGAAGAGUGGCUGGCCCAGGUGCUAUUGAAGAGUGGCUGGCCCAGGUGCUAUUUAAGAGUGGCUGGCCCAGGUGCUAUUUAAGAGUGGCUGGCCCAGGUGUUAUUUAAGAGUGGCUGGCCCAGGUGUUAUUUAAGAGUGGCUGGCCCAGGUGUUAUUUAAGAGUGGCUGGCCCAGGUGUUAUUUAAGAGUGGCUGGCCCAGGUGUUAUUUAAGAGUGGCUGGCCCAGUGCUCCUGAGAGACGUGGAACAGACAAACAAUCCUUUAUCUGAUCUUCCCUGUUCUCAUUUUGCUUCCUAUCUUUAAGUUUGGUGUGGGAUUUUAUUUUGUUUGCCUGUUCUGAGGCAAAUGCAGUGGGUCUCAUGGUGGGGGUGUUAAGUUCCAGUUGUUGUUGCUAGGCAACUUUCAGAGGACAACCCCAUGAGCAUCUUUCAGAACCCUUCCUAAAACCCCACCUGUUUUGUUUUGGUGGUUGUCAGUGACUCUUCGCUAGUUUGAGCAACAUCAUUUGGUUUUCUGACUGGGGA